rnacentral:rRNA from 1 species
UACGUAGGCAGCAAGCGUUGUUCGGAUUUACUGGGCGUAAAGGGUGUGUAGGCGGUUCUUUAAGUUUGGUGUGAAAUCUCCCGGCUCAACUGGGAGGGUGCGCCGAAUACUGAGGGACUAGAGUACGGGAGAGGAAAGUGGAAUUCCUGGUGUAGCGGUGAAAUGCGUAGAUAUCAGGAGGAACACCGGUGGUGUAGACGGCUUUCUGGACCGACACUGACGCUGAGACACGAAAGCGUGGGUAGCAAACAGG